rnacentral:rRNA from 1 species
AUUUUUAUAAAAAAGUACUGAAUAGGAAGAUAUUUUUUUAUUUAAGAAGAUUUUUAAUACCUUUUGUAUCAGGGUAUAUUAAUUAAUAUUUUUUAUUAAAUAUUUCUCGAAAUAAAUUGAUCUAUAAUUUUAAUAAUUAUUUUGUUUAAUUAAAAAUAAUAAUAAAAUUAUUGUGGUUAUAUUCAUAUUAUAAUUUAUAUAUCUAGUUAUGAAAAUUAUAUGUUAAAUAUUGAUAUUUAAGUAUAUUAAAGUAUUUUUGUAAAUAUUAUAUGUAUAUUGGGAUAAUCUAGUAUAUGUUAUUAUAAAAUAUAAAAUUAUUUAGAUAUUAAAGUUAUAAAAUUUGAUUAUUUUUGUUAUAAAAAAAUUUUUAUAUAAAAAGUAAGUUAAUUUUUGAUAUAAAUAUAUUAAUAUAUGUAUAUUAAAAUGAUGAAUUUAAUUAGUAUAAAUAUUUUAUUUUUAAAUAAGAAUUCGGCAAUAUUUUUUUUAUAAAUGUUUAACAAAAACAUUUUUAUUUGUUUUUAUAAAUAAUAAUUUCUGCUCAAUGUUUAUAUAAAUUGCUGUGGUAUUUUGACCAUACAAAGGUAUUGAAAUAAGAUUUUAAUUGAGUGCUAAGAGAAUGGAAAAAUGUAGAAAUACUAUUUUUUUAAAAAAAUUAAAAAUUUAAUUAAAAAUUAAAAUGUUUUUAUAAAAAAAUGGGACGAGAAGACCCUAAAAUCUUAUAUAUAUUUAUAUAUAUAUUAUAUAAAUAUAUUUUUAUUGGGGCGAUAGAAAAAUAAUAAUUAACUUUAUUAUGAAUUUUUUUUUAAAAAAAAUAGUUAAGAUACUUUAGGGAUAACAGCGUUAUUAUUUUGGAUAGUUCAUAUUGAUAAAAUAGUUUGCGACCUCGAUGUUGAAUUAAUGAUUCUUUUAGGAGAAGAAAUUUAAAUAGAGAGAUUGUUCAUCUUUUAAAUCAUUACAUGAUUUGAGUUCAGACCGAUGAGAAUCAGGUCAGUUUCUAUCUAUUAAAAUUUUGUAAUUUAGUAUAGUACGAAAGGAAUUAUUAGA